UGCCCAGACUCCUACGGGAGGCAGCAGUGGGGAAUAUUGGGCAAUGGGCGCAAGCCUGACCCAGCAACGCCGCGUGGAGGAAGAAGGCUUUCGGGUUGUAAACUUCUUUUGACAGGGAAGAGUAGAAGACGGUACCUGUCGAAUAAGCCACGGCUAACUACGUGCCAGCAGCCGCGGUAAUACGUAGGUGGCAAGCGUUGUCCGGAUUUACUGGGUGUAAAGGGAGCGUAGGCGGGAGAGCAAGUCGACUGUGAAAUCUAUGGGCUUAACCCAUAGCUGCGAUCGAAACUGUUCAUCUUGAGUGAAGUAGAGGCAGGCGGAAUUCCUAGUGUAGCGGUGAAAUGCGUAGAUAUUAGGAGGAACACCAGUGGCGAAGGCGGCCUGCUGGACGAUGACUGACGUUGAGGCUCGAAAGCGUGGGGAGCAAACAGGAUUAGAUACCCCCGUAA
rnacentral:rRNA from 1 species